GAACUCGCGGAGCGUGAGGGCGAGUUCGGUGCCGUUCUUGGUGGCCCGGCGGGCGUCCGGGUCGACCGCGAGUCCG
rnacentral:tRNA from 1 species